rnacentral:rRNA from 1 species
UUAGAGUUUGAUCCUGGCUCAGGAUGAACCCUUGCGGCAGGCUUAACACAUGCAAGUCGAGGGGCAGCAUGUCCAGCAAUGGAUGAUGGCGACCGGCGGAAGGGUGCGUAACGCGUGAGCAACAUGCCCUAUACAGGGGAUACACCAGGGAAACUUGGUCUAAUAUCCCAUAGCAUUCAUUGAAGGCAUCUUUAAUGAAUUAAAGCUUCGGUGGUAUAGGAUUGGCUCGCGUGACAUUAGCCAGAUGGUGAGGUAACGGCUCACCAUAGCAAUGAUGUCUAGGGGUUUUGAGAGGAAGGCCCCCCACACUGGGACUGAGACACGGCCCAGACUCCUACGGGAGGCAGCAGUGAGGAAUAUUGGACAAUGGAUGGAAAUCUGAUCCAGCCAUGCCGCGUGCAGGAAGACGGCCUUAUGGGUUGUAAACUGCUUUUAUACGGGAGCAAUAAGGGUUACGAGUAAUCCGAUGAGAGUACUGUAUGAAUAAGGAUCGGCUAACUCCGUGCCAGCAGCCGCGGUAAUACGGAGGAUCCGAGCGUUAUCCGGAAUUAUUGGGUUUAAAGGGUGCGUAGGCGGACGCCUAAGUCAGCGGUGAAAGGCAGCGGCUCAACCGUUGGAUUGCCGUUGAAACUGGGCGUCUUGGAUUCGGUCGAGGCCGGCGGAAUGCGUGGUGUAGCGGUGAAAUGCUUAGAUAUCACGCGGAACGCCGAUUGCGAAGGCAGCUGGCCAGACCUGGAUCGACGCUGAGGCACGAAAGCGUGGGGAUCAAACAGGAUUAGAUACCCUGGUAGUCCACGCCGUAAACGAUGAUCACUGGAUGUCGGCGAUAUACCGUCGGCGUCUGAGCGAAAGCAUUAAGUGAUCCACCUGGGGAGUACGAUCGCAAGGUUGAAACUCAAAGGAAUUGACGGGGGCCCGCACAAGCGGAGGAACAUGUGGUUUAAUUCGAUGAUACGCGAGGAACCUUACCUGGGCUCAAAUGCAUUCGGAAGUGCGCUGAAAGGCGUAUGCCAGCGAUGGCCGUUUGCGAGGUGCUGCAUGGUUGUCGUCAGCUCGUGCCGUGAGGUGUCGGGUUAAGUCCCAUAACGAGCGCAACCCCUACUGCUAGUUGCCAGCGCGUAAAGGCGGGGACUCUAGCGGAACUGCCGGCGUAAGCCGUGAGGAAGGUGGGGAUGACGUCAAAUCAGCACGGCCCUUACGUCCAGGGCUACACACGUGUUACAAUGGCCAGUACAGAGGGCAGCCACCCCGCGAGGGGGCGCUAAUCCCGAAAGCUGGUCCCAGUUCGGAUCGGAGUCUGCAACCCGACCCCGUGAAGCUGGAUUCGCUAGUAAUCGCGCAUCAGCCACGGCGCGGUGAAUACGUUCCCGGGCCUUGUACAAAGCGCCCGUCA